GCUAGUUGGUAAGGUAAUGGCUUACCAAGGCGAUGACGGGUAGGGGACCUGAGAGGGUGGCCCCCCACAAUGGAACUGAAACACGGUCCAUACACCUACGGGUGGCAGCAGUAGGGAAUAUUAGUAAUGGGCGAAAGCCUGAACUAGCAACGCCGCGUGUGCGAAGAAGGCCUUCGGGUCGUAAAGCACUUUUUGAGAGGAUGAGGAAGGACGGUACUCUCAGAAUAAGUCUCGGCUAACUACGUGCCAGCAGCCGCGGUAACACGUAGGAGGCAAACGUUAUCCGGAUUUACUGGGCGUAAAGCGCGUGUAGGUGGUUUGGUAAGUAGGGCGUGAAAGCUCCUGGCUCAACUGGGAGAGGACGUUCUAAACUGCCAAGCUUGAGGAUGGUAGAGGGAGGUGGAAUUCCGGGUGUAGCGGUGGAAUGCGCAGAUAUCCGGAGGAACACCAGUGGCGAAGGCGGCCUCCUGGACCACUCCUGACACUCAGACGCGAAAGCUAGGGUAGCAAACGGGAUUAGAGACCCCGGUAGUCCUAGCCCUAAACGAUGUAGACUUGGCGUCGGUGGUUUAAUCGCCAUCGGUGUCGUAGCUAACGCGAUA
rnacentral:rRNA from 1 species